UUGGAGUAGAAAGGGGUGGAGUUUGACUAGAGUUGUGUAUCCCUGGCUUCAGAAAACAGAGGUGGAGAAGCGAUGGAGCCAGCACAAACGCAAAACUAGUUGCCUGGUUAUUUGGAUCCUGGACUAUAAAGUUGAUACUCUUUAUCCCAUCUAGUCACAGAAGUCAAGGAAAUUAGCCAUCUCCACCUUUUCCCAAGACAAAGGGAAAAGUACUAUACAGUACAUAGAAACCAGGUAAACAGACAAGCAAGGACUUGUACAUAAGUGCCCCAAUCCAGCUGGGACUACUACUGAAUGCAGAUCCUUACCUUGAUGGAAAGCUGCGUGACGUUCUCUUCUCAGAUCCAGAAGCACAUGGAACUAUUUUUGAGAAGCUAAAAUCCUUCUGGUUGCCUGUUGAAGCAGAAGAGUGGGGCGGUGGUUCAUUGAUCUCCUUUCUUGGCCCCCUUUCCCACCAAACAGCCAUCAUUGGGGAUUUUAAGGUGUUUGGCUUUGUAGGUAUUUUGCAUGUGCAACUCCAUGAGUAGAUUGGGCUGAUGUUGUUGUGAUGGAUGGAGGAGUAUCUCUGAGCCAUUUGAGCUCCUUUUUUUCCCUGUCAAAGCUAGACUUUGUCCAGAGUG